GAUGAACGCUGGCGGCGUGCUUAACACAUGCAAGUCGAACGGACAGGUCAUGCUUUUGUGGGGUGCUCGAGUGGCGAACGGGGGAGUAACACGUGAGUAACCUGCCCUUGACUUUGGAAUAAAAUCAGGAAACAGGGGCUAAUAUCCGAGAGGAGAUCUUGCUGCACGGGGGGGGAUGGAAAGAUGCGGCGGUGGUGGCUAGACUCGAGGCUUACCAGCUUGUUGGUGGGGUAGUGGCUUACCAAGGCUUUGACGGGUAGCCGACCUGAGAGCGUGACCGGCCACAUUGCUACUGCGAUACGGCGCAGACUCCUACCUGACGCAGAAGUGGGGAAUCUUGCACAAUGGGCGGAAGCCUGAUGCGACGACGCCGCGUGCGUGAUACCGGCCUUCGGGGUGUGAACCACUUUCGCCUGAGCCGAGGCGUGCUUGACGGUACCUGGUAAAAAAGCACCGGCUAACUACGUG
rnacentral:rRNA from 1 species